AUUCAUUGAGUUGCAUUGCUGGCAACUGGAAGGAUUGAGCGGAGACAAAAGGUUGGAUUAUUUUUGGCUGGUCUAGAGAGAGACAAAAAAGCAUAUUUUUGUU